CCAGACUCCUACGGGAGGCAGCAGUGGGGAAUAUUGCACAAUGGGGGAAACCCUGAUGCAGCAACGCCGCGUGAGUGAAGAAGCGUUUCGGCGCGUAAAGCUCUGUCAGCGGGGAAGAAAGAAGACGGUACCCGACCAAGAAGCCCCGGCUAACUACGUGCCAGCAGCCGCGGUAAUACGUAGGGGGCAAGCGUUAUCCGGAUUCAUUGGGCGUAAAGCGCGCGCAGGCGGGCCGCUAAGCGGGACCUCUAAUCUUGGGGCUCAACCUCAAGCCGGGUCCCGAACUGGCAGCCUCGAGUGCGGUAGGGGUAAGCGGAAUUCCCGGUGUAGCGGUGGAAUGCGCAGAUAUCGGGAAGAACACCGAUGGCGAAGGCAGCUUACUGGGCCGACACUGACGCUGAGGCGCGAAAGCUAGGGGAGCGAGCAGGAUUAGAUACCCUAGUAA
rnacentral:rRNA from 1 species